rnacentral:rRNA from 1 species
CCUACGGGAGGCAGCAGUAGGGAAUAUUGCUCAAUGGGGGAAACCCUGAAGCAGCAACGCCGCGUGGAGGAUGAAGGUUUUCGGAUUGUAAACUCCUUUUGUUAGAGAAGAUAAUGACGGUAUCUAACGAAUAAGCACCGGCUAACUCCGUGCCAGCAGCCGCGGUAAUACGGAGGGUGCAAGCGUUACGCGGAAUCACUGGGCGUAAGGAGCGCGUAGGCGGGAUAGCAAGUCAGAUGUGAAAUCCUAUGGCUUAACCAUAGAACUGCAUUUGAAACUGUUAUUCUAGAGUAUGGGAGAGGUAGGUGGAAUGCUUGGUGUAGGGGUAAAAUCCGUAGAGAUCAAGAGGAAUACUCAUUGCGAAGGCGACCUGCUAGAACAUAACUGACGCUGAUGCGCGAAAGCGUGGGGAGCAAACAGGAUUAGAGACCCGAGUAGUC